rnacentral:rRNA from 1 species
UACGUAGGGGGCAAGCGUUGUCCGGAAUCAUUGGGCGUAAAGCGCGUGUAGGCGGUCCGGUUAGUCAGCUGUGAAAGUCAAGGGCUCAACCCUUGAAUGCCGGUCGAUACUGCCGGACUAGAGUCCGGAAGAGGCAAGUGGAAUUCCCGGUGUAGCGGUGAAAUGCGCAGAUAUCAGGAAGAACACCUAUGGCGAAGGCAGCUCUCUGGGACGGUACUGACGCUGAGACGCGAAAGCGUGGGGAGCGAACAGG